GGGUGGCCAUUCAAGAUUUCAUAAGAGUUGUGGGUGAUGUCCUCUUUUUCCUUGGCGACAUCUUUUCCCUGCUUCGGCUAUUGCUGAUUUUGACAUUAUAUGCAAACAAUAUAAUCUGGUUACAUAACUAAUUUUUCUACCACAGGGUAUUGCCGAGGAAGCAUCCUGAAUUUGGAUGGCAUUAAGAUGUUAGGAUUUU
rnacentral:lncRNA from 1 species